rnacentral:rRNA from 1 species
CCUACGGGAGGCUGCAGUAGGGAAUAUUGCUCAAUGGGGGAAACCCUGAAGCAGCAACGCCGCGUGGAGGAUGAAGGUUUUCGGAUUGUAAACUCCUUUUGUUAGAGAAGAUAAUGACGGUAUCUAACGAAUAAGCACCGGCUAACUCCGUGCCAGCAGCCGCGGUAAUACGGAGGGUGCCACCGUUACUCGGAAUCACUGCGCGUAAAGAGCUCGUAGGCGGGAUAGCAAGUCAGAUGUGAAAUCCUAUGGCGUAACCAUAGAACUGCAUUUGAUACUGGUAUUCUAGAGUAUGGGAGAGGUAGGUGGAAUUCGUGGUGUAGGGGUAAAAUCCGUAGAGAUCAAGAGGAAUACUCAUUGCGAAGGCGACCUGCUAGAACAUAACUGACGCUGAUGCGCGAAAGCGUGGGUAGCAAACAGGAUUAGAUACCCGAGUAGUC